rnacentral:rRNA from 1 species
AGAUUGAACGCUGGCGGCAGGCCUAACACAUGCAAGUCGAGCGGUAGAGAGGUGCUUGCACCUCUUGAGAGCGGCGGACGGGUGAGUAAUGCCUAGGAAUCUGCCUAGUGGUGGGGGAUAACGUUCGGAAACGGACGCUAAUACCGCAUACGUCCUACGGGAGAAAGCGGGGGACCUUCGGGCCUCGCGCCAUUAGAUGAGCCUAGGUCGGAUUAGCUAGUUGGUGAGGUAUGGCUCACCAAGGCGACGAUCCGUAACUGGUCUGAGAGGAUGAUCAGUCACACUGGAACUGAGACACGGUCCAGACUCCGUAGGGAGCAGCAGGUAGGGAAUAUAGGACAAGUGGGACGAAGCCUAGACGUCCAACGCCAUCGCCGCGUUGGUGGUA